rnacentral:rRNA from 1 species
CCUACGGGCGGCAGCAGUGGGGAAUAUUGCACAAUGGGGGAAACCCUGAUGCAGCGACGCCGCGUGAGUGAAGAAGUAUUUCGGUAUGUAAAGCUCUAUCAGCAGGGAAGAAAAUGACGGUACCUGUUUAAGAAGCCCCGGCUAACUACGUGCCAGCAGCCGCGGUAAUACGUAGGGGGCAAGCGUCAUCCGGAUUUACUGGGUGUAAAGGGAGCGUAGACGGCAGCACAAGUCUGGAGUGAAAUGCCGGGGCUUAACCCCGGAACUGCUUUGGAAACUGGGCAGCUAGAGUGCAGGAGAGGUAAGUGGAAUUCCUAGUGUAGCGGUGAAAUGCGUAGAUAUUAGGAGGAACACCAGUGGCGAAGGCGGCUUACUGGACUGUAACUGACGUUGAGGCUCGAAAGCGUGGGGAGCAAACAGGAUUAGAUACCCUGGUAGUC